UACAGAGACUGCAAGCGUUAUUCGGAUUCACUGGGCGUAAAGCGCACGCAGGCGGUCUGCUAAGUUUGGAGUGACAGUUGGUGGCUUAACUGCCAAAGUGCUUCGAAAACUGACAGACUUGAGGGCUUCAGAGGGACACGGAAUUCCGGGUGGAGUGGUGAAAUGCGUAGAGAUCCGGAGGAACACCAAAGGCGAAGGCAGUGUCCUGGGGAGUACCUGACGCUCAGGUGCGAAAGCCAGGGGAGCGAACGGG
rnacentral:rRNA from 1 species